ACUCAAAGGAAUAGACGGGGGCUCGCACAAGUGGUGGAGCAUGUGGUUUAAUUCGACGAUAAGCGAGGAACCUUACCAGGUCUUGACAUCUUGGGAACCCUGCAGAAAUGCGGGGGUGCCUUCGGGAGCCCAAUGACAGGUGAUGCACGGUCGUCGUCAGCUCGUGCCGUGAGGUGUUCCGUUCAGUCGGCAAACGAGCGCAACCCCUACCCUGUGUUGCAUUCUCACGGGGGACAGCCUCGGUUUUACCGAGGAGGAAGGUGGGGAUGACGCCAGAUCAGCGUGUCUCUUACGACCUGGGCGACACACGUGCUACAAUGGCAGUAACAACGGGUAGCAAUACCGCAAGGUGGAGCUAAUCCCUUAAAUACUGCCCCAGUUCGGAUUGUGGGCUGCAACUCGCCCACAUGAAGUUGGAAUCACUAGUAAACGCGCAUCAGCCAUGGCGCGUUGAAUACGUUCUCGAGCCUUGUACACACCGCCCGU
rnacentral:rRNA from 1 species